rnacentral:rRNA from 1 species
GGCCUACAGCACCCGGUAUUCCCAGAUGGUCUCCCAUCCAAAAACUAACCAGGCCCGACCCUGCUUAGCUUCCGAUCAGAUGAGAUCAGGCACGUUCUGGGUGUUAUGGCUGUAAAC